UGGGGAAUAUUGCACAAUGGGCGCAAGCCUGAUGCAGCGACGCCGCGUGAGGGAUGACGGCCUUCGGGUUGUAAACCUCUUUCAGUAGGGAAGAAGCGAAAGUGACGGUACCUGCAGAAGAAGCGCCGGCUAACUACGUGCCAGCAGCCGCGGUAAUACGUAGGGCGCAAGCGUUAUCCGGAAUUAUUGGGCGUAAAGAGCUCGUAGGCGGUUUGUCGCGUCUGCCGUGAAAGUCCGGGGCUCAACUCCGGAUCUGCGGUGGGUACGGGCAGACUAGAGUGAUGUAGGGGAGACUGGAAUUCCUGGUGUAGCGGUGAAAUGCGUAGAUAUUGGGAGGAACACCGGUGGCGAAGGCGGUCCCCUGGGCCGGUACUGACGCUGAGGCGCGAAAGCGUGGGUAGCAAA
rnacentral:rRNA from 1 species